CCACCUUCGCUCCAUCUCCCAACUCCGUUAAACCAAACGCAACAUCAGUCCCAUCCUUACCUUCACCAACUCCCCCCAAACCUAUCAAACCAGCUGCAGCAAUUGCUCCAUCUUUAACUGCCCCUUCUCCGCUGAAACCUGUCAAACCAAAACCAACAUCUGUCACUGAGGCUGAUGAUAGUACACAAUGGACCUUUAAACUUGGAAGAAGAGGACUCACUGAGGAGGUAUGGAAUUCUAUGCUGCUCGGACAAUCUAAAAAUUUUGCCACACCCAUGUUGGAUCCUUCAAAAAUGCUCUACUUUUGAAGGAUUCGACACGUAACCAAUGACAUUUUUGAAGAGUCCGAGCAACAUAGGAGUUAUGUUCCCUAAUAUAUACUAACACACUUAACUGCUAGUCUUUCUGUUUACAUUUAAUACGAGCGAUAGCUACAUAUAUAACAUGUCGAAAGUAUCUUUAGAAUCUUGUAGUAUUAAACAUAUCGUGUCAUUUCUACAAGAGCGCGACAUGAAGUAGAGUUCCUAACUUAACGAAAUGUAUCAUUUUUUUUUUGGAACAGACGAAAAAGGAAAAGAGAGCGAUAAAAUGGAACGGAGUGAGUAACGCACAUGCUCCACAUCCCACAUAGACAAGUGAAAAUGACAAAAGACUAAUACUAAGGUGAUCAUUUUUCGUGUUUUUGGUUUGAUGUUAGGGAGCACAAAGGAUAGUGAAAGAUCCAGCACCAUAUGGACCUGGUCCAUGGGGUGGAGAAGGUGGAAAGCCAUGGGAUGAUGGAGUUUUCACUGGGAUCAAGCAAG
rnacentral:lncRNA from 1 species